UGCUUCCAGUCGAAGAGAUUGAAGCCUGAAGAGGAAAACACAGAAGUAUCCUCUCUACUGACUGCAAGAUGUUCUUUAGGCUCUACAGUGAGGCGCUGGGAGGGCUGAAUAUGACCCGGGGACCUGAAGACCUAGGCCCAGUCUAAAUAGGAAGCUUUAAGCACUGGCAACUCCAUUUAACUAAUAAGGACAACAAUUAUUUCAUGGAUCUCAAGAUUUCACAGAAUGUAAUUUGGGAAAAGUUACCUUAGGAAAAACUAGACUGUAAUCAUUCUGGAAAAGAUAAGACCACAGCAUGGUGAUAAAUGUCAAGAAGACGUUAUUCAUCCAUUUAGGAACUCGUUCUUAUGGCAGACACUUAUGAAGCACUUACUCUGGGUCAGACGUUGUGCUCAACUACUACAGCUAAGAUGCUGAACAUGACAUACUCCUGGCCCUUAAGAAGAUCACUGUCUCAAGUUCAGGGAUGACAAAUACGUGCCUGGUGUGUUACUAUUCUGCAUUCAUACAUCCAGGACAGUUAUCCUUAAUCGAUCUCUACACACCCUCUGGCUGAAUCCGAACAUGGACUCAGACUUCAUCUCAACACUGCUCCACAC